CUGAAUUGAGGAGUGGAAUCCUCAGAACUGGGGGCCUGAAUCAGGGAGUUCUCAUUAGAUCUGGAGGAGGAAACUGAGCCAGAAGUUGUUCAGCAAACUGGGCUUCACAUUCAUAAGAGACCCAGGAAGAGACAUGGGAUCAGGGUUUGGAACCAGGGAGAGAAGAGAAAACUUUGAUCAGAAUGAGGCAAGUAAUUGAUUUCCUUAUGAAGAGGCCAGGCAGUCCAUUUUUCAUGGCGUUCAGCGUGCACAGCAAAUCUAAAACCAUUGUCUGGCAAAUGCAGCUCGCAGCCGCAAUUAUUUU
rnacentral:lncRNA from 1 species